rnacentral:rRNA from 1 species
AAGUUUUGUUGGUUAUCCAAGUCGCUGGCCACAAGAAUCAGUUCAGCUCUGGAUCAGCAAAAUUCCCCUCGGAGCAACGGCCGAUGGCAUCGACCGUCGGCGCCGCGGCGCGGGGGCCUGCCACCGGCGGGAAGCCCUCGGUCCUCUACCUUCGCCGCGCCGACGACGGCCUCGCCGCCGCGCUGCGCGCGCGCUACCGCGUCCACAGCCUUUACGACUCGGGCGCUCCGCUCCUGGCGUUCCUCGCCGCGUCCGCGGCCGCCCCGGGGGCCGGCGAGCCCCCGAGGGCCGCCGUCGUCGUCGGCGGAGGCGCCAUCCAAGUCGACGCCGCCUUCCUCGACGCGGCCCCGUGCCUCCGCUGCGUCGUGACCACCGCCGCCGGCCUGGACCACGUCGACCUCGCCGAGUGCGCGCGGCGGGGCGUCGCCGUGGCCGGCGCCGGCGAGACAUUCUCCACUGACGUGGCGGAUCACGCCGUCGGGCUCCUCGUGGACGUGCUCCGGCGCGUCUCGGCGGCCGACCGGUUCGUCCGCCGCGGGCUUUGGCCGGCCCGCGGGGACUACCCGCUUGGCUCCAAGCUCAGUGGCAAGCGAGUAGGCAUCAUCGGUUUGGGGAGCAUCGGUACAUUGAUCGCGAGGCGGCUCCAGGCAUUCGGCUGCACCAUCUCCUAUCACUCCAGAAGGGCCAAGGAUUCAGCAACCAUCUCUUACAAAUAUUUCCCCACUGUCAUCAACCUCGCUCUCGAAUCCGACGUGCUGGUCGUCGCGUGCGCUCUCAACGAUCAGACACGGCACAUUGUCAACAAGGAAGUCCUGGAGGCGCUAGGGAAAGACGGCGUCAUCGUGAACAUUGCCCGCGGAGGGAACGUCGAUGAGGCGGCGCUGAUCCGCGCACUCAAGGCAGGGGGGAUAGCAGGCGCGGGCCUCGAUGUCUUUGAGAAGGAGCCUGAGGUGCCGGCAGAGCUACUCUCCAUGGAAAAUGUGGUGCUCACAGCGCAUGAGGCCGUCUUCACUGUGGAGUCGGCCUCUGAUCUUUCAGACCUCAUGAUCGGAAACCUUGAGGCGUUCUUCCAAGGAUAAAAGCAAGGAACACCUCCCUGGUCAGGUGGUGGUAACUGGCUAGCUGCCCAGGUAUGCAGUAAAUGAGCUCGCUGCCCUUAUGGGAUUUCCAUGUUCCUGUAAUCUGAUACAAAACUCGACCGACAAAAGAUCGCCAUGACUCUCUGAAGGCGAGGAUUUCUCGCUCAGAAAUAUGUACAUGCCAAUCGGGGAUGAAUGGUGAACUUAUGAUCAGGCGAAGGACGAAGGUUAGGUGGUCGCUGCUCAAGCAGCAGAUUCUGAACCCUGCCUGGUUCUGCCCCUUAUCAGCAAAACCGUGCCAUUUCAGAAAUAAUUGUAGGGUAAGUUUUGCAAAUUGCUUCUGGUUCAUUGCUCAAGGAGGUAGAGUGAUCUGUAGUCUGGGUACAUUGUGGGGGUGGUCAUCAUUCACUCACUGUUCCCAAGUCCUGGACAAGUUUCCCCCUUGUUAGAUGGUUACCAGUCGAAGGCUCUAGGCGCGAGGAUAAGGUGGAAUUGGAAAUUAUAUGUGGGCUCGUGUUAAGUUUAGUGUACCUAAAGCCCUCACAAAAUUGUUACUAUCACUUGUGGAAGGGAACAUAAUAUUUUUCAAGUGAAGUAUGAAAACGUUCCGUGAUUUUGCGAGACGGGCGGGCAAAGCGGACAUUCACACCUUGAAUGUGGAACAGACGAGCGUGAGACGAAGGACUUCAAAUGGUGCCAUGGCUUAACGCUGGUCAUGAAACAUGGUAGGGUUGAGGAGCCGUCUUAGAGCAUCUCCAACAGUUUGUAUAUUAGCUUGUUGGUAAAAUAUGUCAUGUCAUCAAUCAAUAGCUUAACAUACGACAACUCCAAUGAUUUGUAUCUAGUUUGCCC